CAGUCGCCGCGGUAAUACGAAGGGUGCAAGCGUUACUCGGAAUUACUGGGCGUAAAGCGUGCGUAGGUGGUUGUUUAAGUCUGCUGUGAAAGCCCUGGGCUCAACCUGGGAAUUGCAGUGGAUACUGGGCGACUAGAGUAAGGUAGAGGAUAGUGGAAUUUCCGGUGUAGCAGUGAAAUGCGUAGAGAUCGGAAGGAACAUCUGUGGCGAAGGCGACUAUCUGGGCCAACACUGACACUGAGGCACGAAAGCGUGGGGAGCAAACAGGAUUAGAUACCCGGGUAGUCCCUGUCUCUUAUAA
rnacentral:rRNA from 1 species